AUUGAACGCUGGCGGCAGGCUUAACACAUGCAAGUCGAGCGAGCGGCGGACGGGUGGGUAAUGUCUGGGAAACUGCCUGAGGGAGGGGGAUAACUACUGGAAACGGUAGCUAAUACCGCAUACCAUCAGAUGUGCCCAUAUGGGAUUAGCUAGUAGGGGGGGUAAUGGCUCACCUAGGCUACGAUCCCGAGCUGGUCUGAGCGGAUGACCGGCCACACUUGAACUGAGCCACGGCCCAGACUCCUACGUGAGGCAGCAGGGGGGAAUAUUGCACAAUGGGCGCAAGCCUGAUGCAGCCAUGCCGCUUGUGUGAAGAAGGCCUUCGGGUUGUAAAGCACUUUCAGCGAGGAGGCGUUACUCGCAGAAGAAGCACCGGCUAACUCCGUGCCAGCAGCCGCGGUAAUUC
rnacentral:rRNA from 1 species